UACGUAGGGUGCGAGCGUUGCCCGGAUUUAUUGGGCGUAAAGGGCGCGUAGGCGGCAUGGCAAGUCAGGAGUGGAAAGGCCUGGGCUCAACCGAGGAACUGCUUUUGAUACUGCCAAGCUAGAGUCUGGUAGGGGGAUCUGGGAAUUCCUGGUGUAGCGGUGGAAUGCGCAGAUAUCAGGAGGAACACCGGUGGCGAAGGCGGGACCUGGGCCAGUACUGACGGCUGAGGAGCGAAAGCGUGGGGGAGCAAACAGGG
rnacentral:rRNA from 1 species